rnacentral:ncRNA from 1 species
UGAAUAUCUUGUUAAGCAAGUUUCGUUAAGAUGAAAAGGGAAGUUUGGUGAAAAUCCAACGCGAUCUCGUCACUGUAAUGGGGAGUUACUUUACACAGAUGCCACUGGAAGAAUCUGGGAAGGCGUAAAGUAGUUAUGAACCUGAGCCAGGAUACCUGCUUGUAUAACUUUAAAUCG